UGCAGCUCCAGACGUGAUCAGAAGCAAUAAACCUGGCCAGCCACCCAUUACCAUGUCUCCAAGUCACCAAGAAGAACAAGAUCUUUAUGAAGUCCCUGAAAAUGAGGAUAAACCUUCUCCACCUGUAAGAGAAGUACUACCGCUUCCAAGAAGAAAUUCUCCACCAAAACCGG